rnacentral:snRNA from 1 species
CAUUAUUAAGUUUUCCCAGGGU